rnacentral:ncRNA from 21 species
GCCUUAUCAAGAGUGAUGGAGGGGAAGGGCCCGAUGAAAUCCGGCAACCAUAGAGUGUAUGGUGCUAAGUCCCUCAGAAUUUUGGUUCUGAAAGAUGAGGA